rnacentral:rRNA from 1 species
AGGACUAACGCUGGCGGCGUGCCUAACACAUGCAAGUCGAACGAGGGGUAGCAAUACCCCUAGUGGCAGACGGGUGAGUAACACGUAGUCAACCUACCUCUUAAUGGGGGAUAACUAGCCGAAAGGUUAGCUAAUACCGCAUACGAUCGUCGAGUGGCAUCACACGACGAUGAAAGGAGCAAUCCGUUGAGAGAGGGGACUGCGUCCCAUUAGUUAGUUGGUGGGGUAAUGGCCUACCAAGACUCCGAUGGGUAGCUGGCUUGAGAGAGCGACCAGCCACACUGGAACUGAGACACGGUCCAGACUCCUACGGGAGGCAGCAGUGAGGAAUUUUCCGCAAUGGGGGAAACCCUGACGGAGCGACGCCGCGUGUGGGAAGAAGGCCUUCGGGUCGUAACCACUGUCGAGGGGACGAUAUUGACGGUACCCCUGGAGGAAGCCCCGGCUAACUACGUGCCAGCAGCCGC